rnacentral:rRNA from 1 species
GACGAACGCUGGCGGCGUGCUUAACACAUGCAAGUCGAACGGAAAGGCCCUGCUUUUGUGGGGUGCUCGAGUGGCGAACGGGUGAGUAACACGUGAGUAACCUGCCCUUGACUUUGGGAUAACUUCAGGAAACUGGGGCUAAUACCGGAUAGGAGCUCCUACUGCAUGGUGGAGGUUGGAAAGUUUCGGCGGUUGGGGAUGGACUCGCGGCUUAUCAGCUUGUUGGUGGGGUAGUGGCUUACCAAGGCUUUGACGGGUAGCCGGCCUGAGAGGGUGACCGGCCACAUUGGGACUGAGAUGCGGCCCAGACUCCUACGGGAGGCAGCAGUGGGGAAUAUUGCACAAUGGGCGGAAGCCUGAUGCAGCAACGCCGCGUGCGGGAUGACGGCCUUCGGGUUGUAAACCGCUUUCGCCUGUGACGAAGCGUGAGUGACGGUAAUGGGUAAAGAAGCACCGGCUAACUACGUGCCAGCAGCCGCGGUGAUACGUAGGGUGCGAGCGUUGUCCGGAUUUAUUGGGCGUAAAGGGCUCGUAGGUGGUUGAUCGCGUCGGAAGUGUAAUCUUGGGGCUUAACCCUGAGCGUGCUUUCGAUACGGGUUGACUUGAGGAAGGUAGGGGAGAAUGGAAUUCCUGGUGGAGCGGUGGAAUGCGCAGAUAUCAGGAGGAACACCAGUGGCGAAGGCGGUUCUCUGGGCCUUUCCUGACGCUGAGGAGCGAAAGCGUGGGGAGCGAACAGGCUUAGAUACCCUGGUAGUCCACGCUGUAAACGGUGGGUACUAGGUGUGGGGUCCAUUCCACGGGUUCCGUGCCGUAGCUAACGCUUUAAGUACCCCGCCUGGGGAGUACGGCCGCAAGGCUAAAACUCAAAGGAAUUGACGGGGCCCCGCACAAGCGGCGGAGCAUGCGGAUUAAUUCGAUGCAACGCGUAGAACCUUACCUGGGUUUGACAUGGAUCGGGAGUGCUCAGAGAUGGGUGUGCCUCUUUUGGGGUCGGUUCACAGGUGGUGCAUGCCUGUCGUCAGCUCGUGUCGUGAGAUGUUGGGUUAAGUCCCGCAACGAGCGCAACCCUUGUUCACUGUUGCCAGCACGUUAUGGUGGGGACUCAGUGGAGACCGCCGGGGUCAACUCGGAGGAAGGUGGGGAUGACGUCAAGUCAUCAUGCCCCUUAUGUCCAGGGCUUCACGCAUGCUACAAUGGCUGGUACAGAGAGUGGCGAGCCUGUGAGGGUGAGCGAAUCUCGGAAAGCCGGUCUCAGUUCGGAUUGGGGUCUGCAACUCGACCUCAUGAAGUCGGAGUCGCUAGUAAUCGCAAAUCAGCAACGCUGCGGUGAAUACGUUCCCGGG